CUACUGAAGGGCGGGUGAGUCCAGGUGUGUAAUGUUUUGUUCUGUUUGCCACUCUCUCUCGCAGUAUCGAUCUCCCUCGCAUCGAAAUCCCUUGUCAAUUUCCGAUUCCUUCGUUGUGAUCCUCCUGUAUUGCAGUUGACGUUGCGUUUUUGUCCACAAGAAGGUCGGAGAGGGGCUGAACACUUCGUAUGCCGCGCAUGGUUUUGUUGAUGUUGAUUUUUGUGCAACAGUUUGCGUGUCGGGGCGUUUAUUCCAGCUAGCGCACUUGCAUCACAGUGUGAGGUUUCGGGAAGAAGAACUUGUCUCUCGUGUUUAUUCCUUCGUUUCGUUGAAAUGGGCAAUAUGUGUUUCAGUGGAAAUCGCGAUCGUGUUGACCGGAAAAAAACAGACAAUCCAGGUUUAGCAACACCAUCGAAAACAGAAACACUAUCGACAGCAGAAGCACCAUCGACGACAGAAGCACCAUCGACGACUGAAGCACCAUCGACAACUGAAGCACCAUCGACAACUGAAGCACCAGCAACCACAGAAACACCAGCGAAACCAGCGAGACCAGCAAAAUCUAAUAAGCACGGAAAUGUUAUCGUCAUAAAGAACGCGAAAGGUUUGGAGAAUAAGCUGAACGAAGCUAAGGCCGCUGGUAAAAUUAUUGUCGUCGAUUUUACUGCUACUUGGUGCAGCCCAUGCCGAACGAUGUCUCCCAUCUUUGCCAAGUUAAGCAAAGAGUACUCCGACAUGGUUUUCCUCGAGGUUGAUGUCGACAAAGUUCAGGAUGUCACAGCUAAGUAUGAGGUUCUUGCCAUGCCAACUUUCUUGUUUAUCAAGGAUGGUAAACAAGUUGAGAGGCUUGUUGGGGCUAACGACGAACUCGGGAAGAAGUGCAAGCAUUACAGUACUACCCACGUUAGUGUGUGACGAGCAUGCCAGCGUGAUGCAUUGUACAUAAUGGCCUUCAAGGGGUUAGGGAGCUUCUGAUUAUUUGGCUCCUAUAUUUGGGUUGCUACAACGAUUGGCUUCGAGUCCACCAAGCAUCUUUCUAAAAUACUCCUGACCGCUGGCAAUACUUGGAUACAGCGCGGUACUUGAGACUGGCAAUUUGUGAUCGACCAUUUUAUCAAGCGUUUUCAGAAUACGAAAUCAAUGAGACUUGGGCUGCGUGAUAUCAUGGUUAAGUUUUUUCUUAAAUUUUUUUUUUGACACAUUUGAAGAUCACUACAUCUAUCGCAUUUGGGAUGAUGUUACAGAAUUGAUCUCCAGACCAGUCCAGGCUUCCCCCAGCGGACCAGGGACGUUGAUAAUUAUUGUGUACGAUUUCAAAGCUUUUUAUAACCCAACAUCCUGAUUGUAGGCCUGGCACAAACGGGUGUACUGUUUGCUCAACAUUUGUAUGGACGUGGUAAGCAGUUCACUCGUAAAAGUGAGGAUCACUUCUAAUGAACCAGUGCUAAACAUCUGCGCAUUCCCACGAGUAUUGUCCUCAAAAUCCAAGAGGAAUUGCAGGAGAUGCUGCUAACCUGUCAGGUUAGAUUUAGGUUUAGGUACGAAGGCUGCCUACUAUGUCUGCUAGGUCAGCCUUCCGAAUGAGAACAUCCCAAGGGCAGCACUAACUCCAUUCACUCUUCGUGCUCUGUUAUGCAAUGUCGAGCCGUGAUCUCAAAGAUGCGAACGAGGGACUGUGAAAAGGAUGCCACCUUCAAACAAAGCCAAAGUUGCAUGCACCGAAUUUCAAUGGACAUGGGCUCUGAAGUAGAUGGGAGAAACAAAAUCGGUGACAGCAGGGUUUUUCAAGAGCACUGAACGGAGCUUUGUCAUUCUUACAUGUUCCUGCAGCAAACCUUGGCAACAUCCAGCAACUGACCUUGAUCUUCGAGCUACAUAUCGUUUGCGGCUUCAACAAACUCUACUAAUCUCGUCAAUCAUUCAGCAUGCACUUCACCAAGGACUUUUUUAAAAAUUUCACAGUAUUGCCACUUGGAAACAUACCCAAAAGCAUGAGAGGAACCACAUGAGCUAAGCUGUGAUGUUCCUGAUCAAAUUUUUUAUGUCAUUCUGUUAUUUUGUAAAAGCAACGGAUUUUCUUAUUAGUUAAAGUAUAUAGAUUUAAGUUGUUGACUCUAGGUUGAUUAAGGUGUUGAAUGAUUUACCUCCCUUGCAGAUGGAGGUGUACUUAGAUUGUAUAAAGUUAAAUGUAUCAAAUAUGGCUAAAUUUGAAGUAGCAUAACAUUUACUAAUUAAGUUAAGCACGGCCCUUUACAUCCAA